rnacentral:lncRNA from 1 species
UUAUGUCCUUAAAGCACAUUAAGUGCUUGGAAGUUAAUUGGUAUUUAAUUAGCAUAAAUCAAGCACUUUAAUAAUACUCAAAGAAAAACAACGUGGUUUUACAGAUGCUUUAUCAAAAGUCACCUUGAGAAACUGAAGAUGAAUGUGCCCAACACAUCAGCACACGAGGCCAUGCACUGUCCCCUGCUGUCCCCCUGCUGUCCCCUGCACACAGGGACCACAGGCAGUGGCACCUCUGCCCUGGAGGGACCUGCUGAGCCCCCCUCCCCUGCACCUCAAAGGAGCUGCCUUGAAACCAGGGUGCAGCAGGGAGAUGGGGUGGGGGAUGGACCUGGGAUGCAGGAUGGAUUUGGGAUGCAGGAUGGGUUUGGGAUGCAGGAUGGGUCUGGGAUGCAGGAGGGCUCUGGGAUGCAGGAGGGCUCUGGGAUGCAGGAGGGCUCUGGGAUGCAGGAGGGCUCUGGGAUGCAGGAGGGCUCUGGGAUGCAGGAGGGCUCUGGGAUGCAGGAGGGCUCUGGGAUGCAGGAGGGCUCUGGGAUGCAGGAGGGCUCUGGGAUGCAGGAGGGCUCUGGGAUGCAGGAGGGCUCUGGGAUGCAGGAGGGCUCUGGGAUGCAGGAGGGCUCUGGGAUGCAGGAGGGCUCUGGGAUGCAGGAGGGCUCUGGGAUGCAGGAGGGCUCUGGGAUGCAGGAGGGCUCUGGGAUGCAGGAGGGCUCUGGGAUGCAGGAGGGCUCUGGGAUGCAGGAGGGCUCUGGGAUGCAGGAUGGGUCUGGGAUGCAGGAUGGAUUUGGGAUGCAGGAUGGGUCUGGGAUGCAGGCAGCACCCGCGGUGCAAAGCCUGCCGGCUGCAGGAGGCUGCCAGUGCAGAGGCAGGCGCAGCCGAGCGCGGUUCCUGCGGGGCCGAGCAUCCUCUCGAAAGGGGAAGGUGGGAGCCCCGUCACGGCCCGGGGGCACCAGCCCCGCUCCCCCCUCUGCGCCCCGAGCAGAGGCGGGGACACUCUGGGGUCCCCACGGGCUCCCUUUGGGGAGGAAACAGCGAUUCUGCUCCGUGUUUGCUUCGGCAUUUUUUGUGGCGUUGCCAUGACAACCGUCCCGGUGACAUCUUCAUGCUAUUUGUCUCCUUCUGGGGGUUGCAGCGUUUUCGUCCCUGAAUGAGCAGCUGCGGUUCCCGGCUCACCUGGAGCGUCCCGGGUUUCUCGGCUCCUGCCCAGCCCGGGGAGCUGCCCCCCACCCCGAGCCAGGGAUGCUCCAUUCCCGGUUCCCUCACGCCAGCACCCCUGCAGCAUCCUCCUUCCCCAAAAACACAUCUCUACGUGCUGUACCCGCGUGUGUGUGUCACCUCGGGCAUGGGAAAGUAGAGAACGAGCUGAAAAUAGAGAGGUGACAUUGGCAGUGCCCUGCCAGCCCCACGGGGACAGCGGGGAGCAGGGAACUGCCCUGUCACAGCAGCUGUGAGAGCCACCAGCAGAGACAGGGGGAGGCGGCUGCCUGACCCGCGGGCACCUCCAGACCCGCUGCAGCCGGAGCCAGCCCCAGCUCCCGCCCGGGGAAGGUGCUGGAACCCUGCUCAGGGCAGCCAGGUCCUGUCCCACUCCUGCCCCACUCCUGCCCCACUCCUGUGCCAGCCUGACCCCCUCCCAUCCACUCCUGUCUCCCUCCUCUCUCCCUUCUGUCCCACUCCUGUCCCCUCCUGUCCCCCUCCUGCCCCCCAGCCCCAUCCCUGCCCUGCUGCCCUGGAGCCGGGCGGGGUGGGCAGCCCAGUUUUGGGGCACAGCUCUCCCAGCCCAGCCCCUGCCCCAGUUCACCUCUGAGUCACGCUGAGGAGGGCUGGGGCAGCAACAGGCAUUUCCCAAGUUAAAAUUUCACAGAAUCCAGAGUGACGUAACCCCUGGAGCAGAGGGGUUCCUGUCUGGCGCUGGCAGUGCUGGCAGUGCCUGCCGUGUGCCAGCGCAGCCCCCGGGCGGGGCUCGGAGCCCGUGAGCCCCCCCAGGGGAGGCUGGAGGCCGCAGGAUGAGUCAGGGCAGCGCUGCAGGAGGGGAUGGAUGCCCAGCUGACGCACAGCUGCCGUGCUGGCUCCUCUCCCCCUGCCCACACAGCUCCAUCCUCCCCUUCUGCUGACUCUCCUGCCUCUGGCAGCCGGAGCAGCCCCCAGCACUGCUCCUCUGGCAGGGCAGGGGUGGUCCCCCCUGGCACUGGCUGAGUGCCUCACCCCCUUGUCCUCCUGAUGCCUGGAGGGACCACAGGCAGGACUGUCCCCAAAGCUCCCGUCUCCUGUCACCCCCUGAGGCAGCACCAUGAGGCAGGAGCUGCUUGGCCAGCUGGAGUGGGGGGCAAUGCGCCCACCCAGAGGGCACGGGGCUCCCUGGCUCUGUGGGUGCCCAGGCACAGCUCUGGGGGGUCAGAUCCUGUGCAUGGCAGUGCCAGGGGAGCCUGGGGCAGCACAGACUCCAGCAGAGGAUGCUCCUGGUGAGCCAGUGCCAUGGCAGGGGCUGGCAGAGCCCUGGCACCGUGGCUUGGCUGGGAGGUUCCAGUUUCCAUCCUCCUCCCUCCAGCAGCAGAGGAACCAGGGCUGGUCCACGGGUGCCAGGGAGAUGCUGAGGGGUCCAGGAUGC